UUGGUGGCUCCAUCUUAGCCCUAGUCACGGCUAGCUGUGAAAGGUCCGCGAGCCGCAUGACUGCAGAGAGUGCUGAACUGGCCUCUCUGCAGAUCAUGU
rfam:Hepatitis C virus strain 105431TF2.TC2 polyprotein gene, complete cds